AAAAGUAUGUUUAGUGCUUUAUCUGUAAAAUGAAGAGAUUUUAGAUGGUACGGCAAAGAGAAAAUGAUAUCUGAAGUUCAGUCGAAACGAGCCUCUCGAAUAAACUCUUCUUCACGUAGUUCAGACACGAACCACGGCAGGUUAGAUUAUAUCUCAGGGCUUAACUUAUAUACAUCUUAGACAAUAUCCUUCAUUAUCUAUCAUCGUCCUCAUCAUCAACAGAUUCUAGAUAUUGUUGAUAAGCAGCUUGUAGAUAUCUAUGUUCAUGGUCAGGGUCAGCUGCAGGGGCGAGAUCAAGAUGAUUUUCUAUUUUAUCUCGUUCUUCGUCUAAUAUUUCUUGAAGAUUUUCUUCAAUACCACCUA
rnacentral:lncRNA from 1 species